rnacentral:rRNA from 1 species
AUUGAACGCUGGCGGAAUGCUUUACACAUGCAAGUCGAGCGGCAGCGCGGGGCAACCUGGCGGCGAGCGGCGAACGGGUGAGUAAUGUAUCGGAACGUGUCCUGUCGUGGGGGAUAGCCCGGUGAAAACCGGAUUAAUACCGCAUACGAUCGAGAGAUGAAAGUGGGGGACCGCAAGGCCUCACGCGAUAGGAGCGGCCGAUAUCUGAUUAGCUAGUUGGUGGGGUAAAGGCCCACCAAGGCUUCGAUCAGUAGCUGGUCUGAGAGGAUGAUCAGCCACACUGGGACUGAGACACGGCCCAGACUCCUACGGGAGGCAGCAGUGGGGAAUUUUGGACAAUGGGGGCAACCCUGAUCCAGCCAUUCCGCGUGAGUGAAGAAGGCCUUCGGGUUGUAAAGCUCUUUUGUCCGGGAAGAAACGGUUUCACCUAAUACGUGAGACUACUGACGGUACCGGAAGAAUAAGGACCGGCUAACUACGUGCCAGCCGCCGCCGUAAUAC